rnacentral:tRNA from 1 species
GGGGACGUAGCUCAGCUGGGAGAGCGCUAGCUUUGCAAGCUAGAAGUCGUGGGUUCGAGUCCCAUCGUCUCCA